GAUGAAUGCUGACAGAAUGCUUAACACAUGCAAGUCUACUUGAAUUUGGGUUUUUUCACUUAGAUUUGGGUGGCGGACGGGUGAGUAACGCGUAAAGAACUUGCCUCACAGCUAGGGACGACAUUUGGAAACGAAUGCUAAUACCUGAUAUUAUGAUUAUAAGGCAUCUUAGAAUUAUGAAAGCUAUAUGCGCUGUGAGAGAGCUUUGCGUCCCAUUAGCUAGUUGGAGAGGUAACGGCUCACCAAGGCGAUGAUGGGUAGCCGGCCUGAGAGGGUGAACGGCCACAAGGGGACUGAGACACGGCCCUUACUCCUACGGGAGGCAGCAGUGGGGAAUAUUGGACAAUGGACCAAGAGUCUGAUCCAGCAAUUCUGUGUGCACGAUGACGUUUUUCGGAAUGUAAAGUGCUUUCAGUUGGGAAGAAAAAAAUGACGGUACCAACAGAAGAAGUGACGGCUAAAUACGUG
rnacentral:rRNA from 1 species